GAUGAACGCUGGCGGCGUGCCUAAUACAUGCGAGUCGAGCGAACAGACGAGGAGCUUGCUCCUCUGACGUUAGCGGCGGACGGGUGAGUAACACGUGGAUAACCUACCUAUAAGACUGGGAUAACUUCGGGAAACCGGAGCUAAUACCGGAUAAUAUAUUGAACCGCAUGGUUCAAUAGUGAAAGACGGUUUUGCUGUCACUUACAGAUGGAUCCGCGCCGCAUUAGCUAGUUGGUAAGGUAACGGCUUACCAAGGCAACGAUGCGUAGCCGACCUGAGAGGGUGAUCGGCCACACUGGAACUGAGACACGGUCCAGACUCCUACGGGAGGCAGCAGUAGGGAAUCUUCCGCAAUGGGCGAAAGCCUGACGGAGCAACGCCGCGUGAGUGAUGAAGGUCUUCGGAUCGUAAAACUCUGUUAUUAGGGAAGAACAAAUGUGUAAGUAACUAUGCACGUCUUGACGGUACCUAAUCAGAAAGCCACGGCUAACUACGUG
rnacentral:rRNA from 1 species